rnacentral:rRNA from 1 species
UACGUAGGGUGCAAGCGUUAAUCGGAAUUACUGGGCGUAAAGCGUGCGCAGGCGGUGAUGUAAGACAGAUGUGAAAUCCCCGGGCUCAACCUGGGAACUGCAUUUGUGACUGCAUCGCUGGAGUGUGGCAGAGGGGAAUGGAAUUCCGCGUGUAGCAGUGAAAUGCGUAGAUAUGCGGAGGAACACCGAUGGCGAAGGCAAUCCCCUGGGCCUGCACUGACGCUCAUGCACGAAAGCGUGGGGAGCAAACAGG